CGGCGGCGGAUUCCGAUGGUCAGCCGGCGUUUGGUGAAAUUGAGGCCCCGAAAUUUUUGGGUAUUGAGGUUGAAACCCUCAAAAAGAUUAUCCCUCUUGGGCUUAUGUUCUUUUGCAUCCUUUUCAAUUACACAAUUCUUAGGGAUACGAAGGAUGUUUUGGUUGUGACUGCUAAAGGUAGCAGUGCAGAGAUUAUUCCAUUUUUG
rnacentral:misc_RNA from 1 species